CUACACUAUUUUCACAUGAUGAGGAUAACAGCAUUCACUAACAACCAAUUUCAUUAUCGAUUCGAUUAGUUGUUGCAGCUCUAAUAAUAAAUAAUAAACUCAGUGUUUCAAAGAGAAUAAAAACCCAUAAAGUUUGGAAACUCACUGUUCCAGCAGUCGUACAGUCGCUCUAUUAAACAUUUUUCUACUAUUGAACAUCAGGUAGCUGGUAAGUGUCUCCAUCAACACUUUAAUCUCAUAAGGAGCACGAGACUGAGAGGAACCACCACAUCCAGAGUCCACCCACAUCCAGCUCAAGUUCCAGCUGUGGAGGAGAAACCAGCUGCAGCUCAAGUUCCAGCUGUGGAGGAGAAACCAGCUGCAGCUCAAGAUCCAGCUGUGGAGGAGAAACCAGCUGCAGCUCAAGUUCCAGCUGUGGAGGAGAAACCAGCUGCAGCUCAAGUUCCAGCUGUGGAGGUGAAACCAGCACAAGUUCAAAAUUCAGUUAAAGCUCCUUCAGCAUCUGUCCAGCCGCAUGCAGAAGGUACAUACUUGGACUGUGCUACAGAAGAACACACACACACACACACACACACACACACACACACACACAUCCACCAUGCAAAGUGAAAAAGCCUACAGAUGUGGAAACUAUCUGAGAAGGUUCCAGGCAGAACUGGACGGGGACAAAAAAUCAGCCCUGGCGUUUUGGUCCAGAUCGGCCCACUACAUACGAUCACAAACACUACUCAUCUUUGCACACCCUUAAAUAUGUAUAUAAACUCCUAUUCCAUAAAAGCACUAAAGCCCUAUAAUAACAGGUAGAAAAGAGUGAGAAUUUACACAUUAAAAAUGUAUUUUAAAAAAUGUGUAAAUUAUGAAUACAAUAAAACUCUAAUCCACACUGAUUCAAUU